GAUGAACGCUGGCGGCGUGCCUAAUACAUGCAAGUCGAGCGAACGGACGAUAACCUUGCUUCUCUGAUGUUAGCGGCGGACGUGUGAGUAACAUGUGGAUACCCUACCUAUAAGACUGGGAUAAGUUCGGGAAACCGGUGCUAAUACCGUAUAAUUUUUUGAACGGCAUGGUUCAAAAGUGAAGGACGGUCUUGCUGUCACUUCUAGAUGGAUCCGCGCUGCAUUAGCUAGUUGGUAAGGUAACGGCUUACCAAGGCAACGAUGCAUAGCCGACCUGAGAGGGGGAACGGCCACACUGGAACUGAGACACGGUCCAGAGUCCUACGGGAGGCAGAAGUAGGGAAUGUUGCGAGAUGGGCGGAAGCCUGACGGAGCAACGCCGGGUGAGUGAUGAAGGUCUUCGGGUCGUAAAACUGUGUUAUUAGGGAAGAACAUAUGUGGAAGUAACUGUGCACAUCGUGACGGUACCUAAAGAGAAAGCAACGGCUAACUACGUG
rnacentral:rRNA from 1 species